GGGCCUUCUAUGCUUAGGGGUCAUAUACUAUGUGAUCAAGAUAGGCCUUGGGCAGCUCGUAAAACAUUCCUGUAGCAAACCAUCAUCCCAUGACAAGGAGAAUGGGAGGCCCGAUGCAUAAAGUAGGGUGGCCUAUAUCACAUGAUUUUCUUAACAACAGACCAACAUAAAUAAGCCCACUCAGACGAAAGGAGGGUCAACGUUUAACAUAUUUAUGUGUACACAAGUACACAUAAAUAAGCCCACUCAGACGAAAGGAGGGUCAACGUUUAACAUAGAGACUGAAGGCUCCUCGCCUAGGGACAAUGACUGUCAUUUUCCAGGCGAGGAGGGUUGUCACUGGGCAAAUCUAGGUAGAUACCCAUAUACUAAAUAUCGAUGCGACCCAGGAGACAGAAUAGUAAUAGAUGGUAAAAACAAGGGAGCCAGGGUGUUGCCCUCACCCUGGUCCCCCAUUUAUAGCCAAAGGAACCCCCCAGCUGACCAAGGACUAGCACCCAGAGAAGUAAUGAUCUAUCAAUGUCCUGCGAAUAUCCCCAGGGGCCACGAACUAGAUGGGUGGGUCUUAAACCGGGUGUCCCAAGCUCCCCACACAAGAAGGGAGCCUUAUGACCUAACGAGGGGACGGGGUAACCACCAGACGAGACCUAGACAAGCUAGGGGGAUGAGCAGCCAAAGAUCUCUCUCUCCCGCACCUAACACUCAUGCCCAAGGAGGUCCCAACUUCAGGACUCGUGCGGUACCAAGAGACACAACUCCCACGCAGCCUCCACCCCUGACGGGGGUUGGGGCCCCCGGACGGGGCCACACUAGGCCCCUCUCUGCUCAACGACCAGAACACUCCCAACAGACUCGGAGGGAAGGCGCCCACCUUCCCUCCGAGGUAUUCUUCCGGGGUCCAGGAGCAGGCAAGAACCAGCUGUUCCAGAUCCAGGAGAGAAAGUGGUUUAGGACGAACAACCACAAGUUGAAGAACCCAGAAUGGACCUUUAACCACGUCUGCGGUCUCCGGCUGGGACCCCGAGGGUGGCCCCAGCUAAAGGAGGACUACCAACACAUCUGGCCCCUUAUCUCCAUCAGAGAAGCGGACCACCUGAUGCCGUACUCCACCCUUGUCGCCUCCACCCCGGAGGACACCAGGGGGAAUCCAGCCCUGGGCAUCAUACGCCUGUCCCGGAAGCUGUUUUAUCAUCUCCCCACAAGGAAGAGGUUCUGUAUCCUGGAAAGCAGCGAUGGACAACACAUCAUCUACUUUGAACAACCCCAAGCCCCUUACAUAUGGGGUUGGGCUCCGACUUCGGAUGUAUUUGGACCCCGCUGGCCUUGGCACACAAACACUCACGCACACACAACUACACAUACACACACCCACACACGAGUACACAUAUGCACAUACACUGGUACGGCAUAGGUGCAUGGGAGGAUGACGUGUGUCCCGAUAGGACUCACUACAUUGAUGCACCUAGCCGUUCCGGAAUCACUCCAGAAUCAUGCUGUGACACCAUGCUGUCAACAAGUUCACCGUACAUAUACAUGUGUGCCUUAUAUAUCUCAUGAUAAAGUGAAUUGCUUACUUUAUAUCUUCUUGUGUGCCUUAUAUAUCUUAUGAUAAAGUGAAUUGCUUACUUUAUAUCUUCUUGUGUGCCUUAUAUAUCUUAUGAUAAAGUGAAUUGCUUACUUUAUAUAUUCUUAUGUAGUAAAUUGUGUGCCUUAAAAUGUCUUAUCAUAGAGCCAACUGUUUACUUUAUAUACCCUUUUUAUGUAGUAAAUUGAAUGCUUAAACAUAUCUCCUCGUGGAGAAACAGUAGAGGAAUACAAAGAACGUGUGUCCCUUUUCAACACUCGACAUGUGAUAAUUUGUGAUAACAUUUGCAUGAUUUCAAGCUUCUUGUGUUGCCCCUCGGGCAAAAUAAGGGAAAGUACAUGGAAACGUAUAACAAAAGUGCUUUUGUUACCAAAAAGAGUUAAGCAGAGAGAUCUGCAAGGAGAGCCUGAGUGCUUGGGUGUUCUUCUUAUGUCUUAUGGUACCAACUGGUGUGGUGUUGUGCGCUGCCUACUCUCCAUCGGGAAAGGCUCAAUUAGGAUCCCCGCCUUAGAUUUAGUAUAGUUUGGUUAAAAUCUACUCUUUAUUUAAUCUUGUCCAUCUUGCAUCUAUCCUGUUCUUUUAUUGUCUGUUCUUUUCAAAUCUAUACUCAGUUGUAAAAGUUAUUGUGUUUAUUGGACCUAAAAAUAAAUCUACCUGACUACAUUUGUAGUAGGUUAUCUCAAUCGUUCGAGUCCUUUUCCCUGUCGACUCCUCGACAAAGGCAAAGCAGAACGACGCUCUCCCAGCUGAUCCCCUCAGCUGAUCCCCUCACGGUGACGUUGUAGUCUGGGCAGCAGUCAGGGAUCGGUUGUGAAGCACAUGAUUCGUCACAGAAGCAACCAUUGAAACAAGAUGGAUUUUCGCCUGAGCAACACAUGGAAGAGUUUGCAGAACAGCUCCCUGAAGAGAACAAACGCAAAGUUACAAGGAAAUCAGGACAAAGCUUUAUAUCCAUUGGGAAUAAUGACUGCCCUUCUUGCUAUGCUUCGACAGAACUAGUAUACAUCUUACAAUUUCACAGAUCUAUUGAAUAUCAGCAGAUAUAUGAUAAUAAACCUAAUUAAAUAAUUAGAAGUACAUAAUUAAACGUGCACAAAAAAUGCUAUAUUUUUGUUCAUUAAUGGCUAAUGAUUAUUGUAUUUACUUUCCCCUCUAUUACAAAUAUAAAUUAUUUAUUAUCCAAUUAUCAUAG
ensembl:lncRNA